GACGAACGCUGGCGGCGUGCCUAAUACAUGCAAGUCGAGCGAAGUGGAGAGAGCUUGCUCUCAAAGCUUAGCGGCGAACGGGUGAGUAACACGUGGGCAACCUGCCUGUAAGACUGGGAUAACUUCGGAAAACCGAAGCUAAGACCGGAUAGGAUCUUCUCCUUCAUGGGAGAUGAUUGAAAGAUGGUUUCGGCUAUCACUUACAGAUGUGGCCGCGGUGCCUUAGCUAGUUGGUGAGGUAACGGCUCACCAAGGCAACGAUGCAUAGCCGACCUGAGAGGGUGAUCGGCCACACUGGGACUGAGACACGGCCCAGACUCCUACGGGAGGCAGCAGUAGGGAAUCUUCCGCAAUGGACGAAAGUCUGACGGAGCAACGCCGCGUGAGUGAUGAAGGCUUUCGGGUCGUAAAACUCUGUUGUUAGGGAAGAACAAGUACAAGAGUAACUGCUUGUACCUUGACGGUACCUAACCAGAAAGCCACGGCUAACUACGUGCCAGCAGCCGCGGUAA
rnacentral:rRNA from 1 species